CUGAGUCUUUACAUCAGAACAUUCUUCUCUCACCCUUUCCUGUCUCUCUCUCUCUCUCUCUCUCUCUCUCUCUCUCUCUCUCUGUGCCUUUCUGCACAACGGCAUAACAGUCUAUUUACUGAGGGUGAAAAGGAGGGAUUCUACCACCCAACAGUCCUCAACCAUGGGAGAUAAAGGCACAAGGGUAUUCAAAAAAGCAAGUCCCAAUGGAAAGCUCACAGUGUACCUGGGGAAGAGGGACUUUGUGGACCACGUUGACCUGGUGGAACCCGUAG